rnacentral:rRNA from 1 species
CCCUUAGAUGCUCUGGGCCGCACGCGCGCUACACUGGUCGAUGCAACGAGUUUCUUUCCUUGGCCGACAGGCCUGGGCAAUCUUUGAACAUCGAUCGUGAUCGGGAUAGAUUCUUGUAAUUUUUGAUCUUAAACGAGGAAUUCCUAGUAAACGCAAGUCAUCAGCUUGCAUUGAUUACGUCCCUGCCCUUUGUAUACACCGCCCGUCGCACCUACCGAUUGAAUGGUCCGGUGAAAUCUCCGGACUGGCGUGAGUCGGAGCAAUCUGACAAACACCGGAAAGUUGAUUAAACCUUACCAUUUAGAGGAAGGUGAAGUCGUAACA